CCCUUAGAUGUUCUGGGCCGCACACGCGCUACACUGAAGGAGGCAGCGUGUACUCCUGGAUCGAAAGAUUUGGGUAACCCGCGAAUCUCCUUCGUGCUAGGGAUUGAGGUUUGCAAUUAUCCUUCAUGAACGAGGAAUUCCCAGUAAGUGCAAGUCACAAGCUUGCGCUGACUACGUCCCUGCCCUUUGUACACACCGCCCGUCGCUACUACCGAUUGAAUGAUUUAGUGAGGACUUCGGACUGGGACCGAUGCGGCUUUCGGGCUGCGUCGGUAUUCUGGAAAGAUGUCCAAACUGUAUCAUUUAGAGGAAGUAAAAGUCGUAACA
rnacentral:rRNA from 1 species